rnacentral:rRNA from 1 species
GACGAACGCUGGCGGCGUGCUUAACACAUGCAAGUCGAACGGAAAGGCCCUGCUUUUGUGGGGUGCUCGAGUGGCGAACGGGUGAGUAACACGUGAGUAACCUGCCCUUGUCUUUGGGAUAACUUCAGGAAACUGGGGCUAAUACCGGAUAGGAGCUCCUGCUGCAUGGUGGGGGUUGGAAAGUUUCGGCGGUUGGGGAUGGACUCGAGGCUUAUCAGCUUGUUGGUGGGGUAGUGGCUUACCAAGGCUUUGACGGGUAGCCGGCCUGAGAGGGUGACCGGCCACAUGGGGACUGAGAUACGGCCCAGACGCCUACGGGAGGCAGCAGUGGGGAAUAUUGCACAAUGGGCGGAAGCCUGAGGCAGCAACGCCGCGUGCGUGAUGACGUCCUUCGGGUUGUAAACCGCUGUCGCCUGUGACGAAGCGGGAGUGACGGUAAUGGGUAAAGAAGCACCGGCUAACUACGUG